UCAAGAGGUGGGGUCUUUAAGAGAUC
rnacentral:piRNA from 1 species